UGGGGAAUUUUGGACAAUGGGCGAAAGCCUGAUCCAGCAAUGCCGCGUGUGUGAAGAAGGCCUUCGGGUUGUAAAGCACUUUUGUCCGGAAAGAAAUCCUUGGCUCUAAUACAGUCGGGGGAUGACGGUACCGGAAGAAUAAGCACCGGCUAACUACGUGCCAGCAGCCGCGGUAAUACGUAGGGUGCAAGCGUUAAUCGGAAUUACUGGGCGUAAAGCGUGCGCAGGCGGUUUGCUAAGACCGAUGUGAAAUCCCCGGGGCUCAACCUGGGAACUGCAUUGGUGACUGGCAGGCUAGAGUAUGGCAGAGGGGGGUAGAAUUCCACGUGUAGCAGUGAAAUGCGUAGAGAUGUGGAGGAAUACCGAUGGCGAAGGCAGCCCCCUGGGCCAAUACUGACGCUCAUGCACGAAAGCGUGGGGAGCAAACAGGAUUAGAUACCCUGGUAGUCCACGCCCUAAACGAUGUCAACUAGUUGUUGGGGAUUCAUUUCCUUAGUAACGUAGCUAACGCGUGAAGUUGACCGCCUGGGGAGUACGGUCG
rnacentral:rRNA from 1 species